rnacentral:rRNA from 1 species
AACAAACAGGGAUUGCUCUAGUAACGGCGAGUGAAGCAGCAAUAGCUCAAAUUUGAAAUCUGGCGUCUUCGGCGUCCGAGUUGUAAUUUGUAGAGGAUGCUUCUGAGUAACCACCGACCUAAGUUCCUUGGAACAGGACGUCAUAGAGGGUGAGAAUCCCGUAUGCGGUCGGAAAGGUGCUCUACACGUAGCUCCUUCGACGAGUCGAGUUGUUUGGGAAUGCAGCUCUAAAUGGGAGGUAAAUUUCUUCUAAAGCUAAAUAUUGGCCAGAGACCGAUAGCGCACAAGUAGAGUGAUCGAAAGAUGAAAAGCACUUUGGAAAGAGAGUUAAAAAGCACGUGAAAUUGUUAAAAGGGAAGGGAUUGCAACCAGACUUGCUCGCGGUGUUCCGCCGGUCUUCUGACCGGUCUACUCGCCGCGUUGCAGGCCAGCAUCGUCUGGUGCCGCUGGAUAAGACUUGAGGAAUGUAGCUCCCUCGGGAGUGUUAUAGCCUCUUGUGAUGCAGCGAGCGCCGGGCGAGGUCCGCGCUUCGGCUAGGAUGCUGGCGUAAUGGUCGUAAUCCGCCCGUCUUGAAACACGGACCAAGGAGUCUAACAUCUAUGCGAGUGUUCGGGUGUCAAACCCCUACGCGUAAUGAAAGUGAACGGAGGUGAGAACCGCAAGGUGCAUCAUCGACCGAUCCUGAUGUCUUCGGAUGGAUUUGAGUAUGAGCAUAGCUGUUGGGACCCGAAAGAUGGUGAACUAUGCCUGAAUAGGGUGAAGCCAGAGGAAACUCUGGUGGAGGCUCGCAGCGGUUCUGACGUGCAAAUCGAUCGUCAAAUUUGGGUAUAGGGGCGAAAGACUAAUCGAACCAUCUAGUAGCUGGUUCCUGCCGAG